CGGGCCCUUCUGGGGCGGGCAAUCUCUAGCAGGUGUGACUACCUAAAACAGGGAGUGGGCGUAGCUACUGACGUUGGGCGGAGCUUUUAGGAGGCGGGGCUUCAAGGAGACUUGGCUUGGGCUGGGCUAAAAUCCAAAUAUAUAUAGGCUAUUGAAAGGUGUGUGGCUGUUUCUUUAAAGAACCCGAAAGAUCCUUUUCCCUUCGCCGAGUCCCCUUCACCGCAGAAGUUCCGCGGGCUGCGCACUUGCUCUCUCCUGGUCCUGGGGAAACGUGGUUACCUGGCCCUGAGGCUGCCCUCCUGGACCUUUCUCAACUGGAGACCCUUGUUGUGCCUGCAGUGACAUAAGCAGUACGGAAUGGAGGAGGCAAACAUCAGACCCUGGACUGGACAGAGCUCAAGCCACCUAGAUGGAGCACACACACAAAAAGAUGGGUGCUCCAGGCUAGGCUGGGGACACGAUUCUGCACAUUGGGAAAGUCUGUGUUUCUCUGGGCUUCUACUUACUUGUCUGUAAAAUGGGAUAUAAUCACUCUUGCUGUUCUUGUUAUAAAUCUGAAA